GGGGCUGUUGCUCAGCGAUAAAGCACUCGCCUAGCAUGUGUGAGGCCCUGGGUUCGAUCCUCAGCACCACA
rnacentral:tRNA from 1 species